rnacentral:rRNA from 1 species
GAUGAACGCUGGCGGCGUGCCUAAUACAUGCAAGUCGAGCGAACGGACGAGAAGCUUGCUUUUCUGAUGUUAGCGGCGGACGGGUGAGUAACACGUGGAUAACCUACCUAUAAGACUGGGAUAACUUCGGGAAACCGGAGCUAAUACCGGAUAAUAUUUUGAACCUCAUGGUUCAAAAGUGAAAGACGGUCUUUCUUUCACUUAUAGAUGGAUCCGCGCUGCAUUAGCUAGUUGGUAAGGUAACGGCUUACCAAGGCAACGAUGCAUAGCCGACCUGAGAGGGUGAUCGGCCACACUGGAACUGAGACACGGUCCAGACUCCUACGGGAGGCAGCAGUAGGGAAUCUUCCGCAAUGGGCGAAAGCCUGACGGAGCAACGCCGCGUGAGUGAUGAAGGUCUUCGGAUCGUAAAACUCUGUUAUUAGGGAAGAACAUAUGUGUAAGUAACUGUGCACAUCUUGACGGUACCUAAUCAGAAAGCCACGGCUAACUACGUG